GUGCUCGCUUCAGCAGUACAUAUACUAAAAUUGGAACGACACAGAGAAGAUUAGCAUGGCCCCUGCACAAGGAUGACACACAAAUUUGUGAAGCAUUCCGUAUUUCU
ensembl:snRNA U6 U6 spliceosomal RNA